GCCUGCUCUCUUGUAUUGCUGAGGUUUGCUACCAACUAGGUGGGUUUGGCUAUGGAGCUGGUCUAGUGCCCUCUGUUGGUAGCAACAGCAAUAUGCACAGGGCCGGACUGGGAAAAAAAUUCAGCCCGGGCAUUUUUUUAUCACAGCGGCCCACUAAGAAGGGGGCGGGGCAGAGAGGGUGUGUUUUGUCAUCACUCAUGACAUACACGCCCCCUCUCAAAGUGAGCAUGUUGGUUCAAUGCUCUUCCAGGGCAGACCAUGCGCAGAGCUCUGCUGAAGAGCUCUAGCAUGAGAAAAAAGCCCUGUAUUUGUUCUGCACAGUGCAAGCAAAUUUAAUAACAUGCUUGCACUUUUUCCUUGCAACUUGUCUCUGGUGUCUCUAUAAAUGGAUACCAGGAGACAAAAGGGCCAGGAAAGAGUAUUGUGCAUGUGUUUGGAGCCUGUUUGUGGUAUUACGUUUGUGCAGAGUGAGCUGGUCAUGGUGUGGUAUUGUGUAAUAAGGUCUGUUUUAGUCGUGUUGUGUUUGUGGUGUAAUGUAAUGCAUAUGUGGCUAGGGGCUGUAGAGAAUGUGUGUAUAGGGG